rnacentral:rRNA from 1 species
UACCAGGGAUGCAAGCGUCAUCCGGAAUUAUUGGGCGUAAAGCGUUUGUAGGCGGGCGAGUGUGUUUAAUGUUAAAUCUUAAAGCUCAACUUUGAAAUUGCGUUAAAAACUGCUUGUCUUGAGUAUGGUAGGGGUAAAGGGAAUUCCCAGUGUAGCGGUGAAAUGCGUAGAUAUUGGGAAGAACACUAAACAGCGAAGGCACUUUACUAGGCUAAUACUGACGCUGAGAAACGAAAGGUAAGGUAGCGAAACGGAUUAGAUACCCGUGUAGUCUUACCCGUAAACUAUGGACACUAAACGGUAAAUUUUUAAUUUACUGUUAAAGCUAACGCGUUAAGUGUCCCGCCUGGGGAGUAUGCUUGCAAAAGUGAAACUCAAAGGAAUUGACGGGGGCCCGCACAAGCGGUGGAGCAUGUGGUUUAAUUCGACGGUACACGAAGAACCUUACCAGGAUUUGACAUGCUAGAUAGUUGCUUGAAAGAGUAACGUGCCGUAAGGAAUCUAGACACAGGUGGUGCAUGGCUGUCGUCAGUUCGUGUUGUGAAAUGUUGGGUUAAGUCCCGCAACGAACGCAACCCUUGUCUUUAGUUAUUUUCUAAAGAGACUGCCUGUAAUAAACAGGAGGAAGGUAAGGAUGAGGUCAAGUCAUCAUGCCCCUUAUGUCCUGGGCUACACACGUGCUACAAUGGGAAAGACAAUGAGCUGCAAAUCUGUAAAUUUAAGCAAAUCUCUUAAACUUUCUCGUAGUUCGGAUUGUGGGCUGCAACUCGCCCACAUGAAGUUGGAAUCGCUAGUAAUCGCCAGUCAGCUAUAUGGCGGUGAAUCCGUUCCCGGGCCU